ACAUUCGUGGUCGAGUGGUUAAGGCAAUGGACUAAAAAUUCAUUGGGGUCUCCCCGCACAGGUUCAAAUCCUGUCGACUGCG
rnacentral:tRNA from 2 species